GACGAACGCUGGCGGCGUGCUUAACACAUGCAAGUCGAACGGAAAGGCCCUGCUUUUGUGGGGUGCUCGAGUGGCGAACGGGUGAGUAACACGUGAGUAACCUGCCCUUGACCUUGGGAUAACUUCAGGAAACUGGGGCUAAUACCGGAUAGGAGCUCCUGCUGCAUGGUGGGGGUUGGAAAGUUUCGGCGGUUGGGGAUGGACUCGCGGCUUAUCAGCUUGUUGGUGGGGUAGUGGCUUACCAAGGCUUUGACGGGUAGCCGGCCUGAGAGGGUGACCGGCCACAUGGGGACUGAGAUACGGCCCAGACGCCUACGGGAGGCAGCAGUGGGGAAUAUUGCACAAUGGGCGGAAGCCUGAUGCAGCAACGCCGCGUGCGGGAUGACGGCCUUCGGGUUGUAAACCGCUUUCGCCUGUGACGAAGCGUGAGUGACGGUAAUGGGUAAAGAAGCACCGGCUAACUACGUG
rnacentral:rRNA from 1 species